rnacentral:rRNA from 1 species
GACGAACGCUGGCGGCGUGCUUAACACAUGCAAGUCGAACGGAAAGGCCCUGCUUUUGUGGGGUGCUCGAGUGGCGAACGGGUGAGUAACACGUGAGUAAACUGCCCUUGACUUUGGGAUAACUUCAGGAAACUGGGGCUAAUACCGGAUAGGAGCUCCUGCUGCAUGGUGGGGGUUGGAAAGUGUCGGCGGUUGGGGAUGGACUCGCGGCUUAUCAGCUUGUUGGUGAGGUAGUUGCUUACCAAGGCUUUGACGGGUAGCCGGCCUGAGAGGGUGACCGGCCACCAUGGGACUGAGGUACGGCCCAGACUCGUACGGGCGGCAGCGGGGGGGAACAUUGCGCAAUGGGCGCAAGCGUGAUGCAGAAACGCCGCGUGCGGGAUGACGGCCUUCGGGUUGUAAACCGCUUUGGACUGUGCCGAGGCGUGAGUGACGGUAAUGGGUAAAGAAGCACCGGCUAACUACGUG